rnacentral:rRNA from 1 species
UACGUAGGGGGGCAAGCGUUGUCCGGAAUUAUUGGGCGUAAAGAGCUCGUAGGCGGUGUGUCACUGUCGGCCGUGAAAACCUGGGGCCUUAACUCUGGGCGUGUCGGUCGAUACGGGCAUCACUAGAGUUCGGCAGGGGAGAGUGGAAUUCCUGGUGUAGCGGUGAAAUGCGCAGAUAUCAGGAAGAACACCCGUGGCUAAGGCGGCUCUCUAGUACGGUACUGACGCUGAGACGCGGAAAGCGUGGGGAGCGAACAGG